GACAGAGGGUGCAAACGUUGUUCGGAAUUACUGGGCGUAAAGCGUGUGUAGGCUGCUACAUAAGUCGGAUGUGAAAGCCCCGGGCUCAACCCGGGAAGUGCACUCGAUACUGCGUAGCUUGAGUCUCGGAGAGGUUGGUGGAAUUCUCGGUGUAGAGGUGAAAUUCGUAGAUAUCGAGAGGAACACCGGUGGCGAAGGCGGCCAACUGGACGAAGACUGACGCUGAGAUACGAAAGCGUGGGGAGCAAACAGG
rnacentral:rRNA from 1 species